CUGCCCACGAGGCCGUGCCCGUGAGAUGGCAUCAGCCCCCCCGAAGCGGGAUCUGCCGGGGUGCCCGUGCCCCCCCAGCACCGGAGCAAAGGGCCUCUUUGGAAGAAUUCCCACAAUCCAAGCCUGGCCUCAGCAGCCUGGAG
rnacentral:lncRNA from 12 species